rnacentral:rRNA from 2 species
GUCGAACGAACUCUGGUAUUGAUUGGUGCUUGCAUCAUGAUUUACAUUUGAGUGAGUGGCGAACUGGUGAGUAACACGUGGGAAACCUGCCCAGAAGCGGGGGAUAACACCUGGAAACAGAUGCUAAUACCGCAUAACAACUUGGACCGCAUGGUCCGAGUUUGAAAGAUGGCUUCGGCUAUCACUUUUGGAUGGUCCCGCGGCGUAUUAGCUAGAUGGUGAGGUAACGGCUCACCAUGGCAAUGAUACGUAGCCGACCUGAGAGGGUAAUCGGCCACAUUGGGACUGAGACACGGCCCAAACUCCUACGGGAGGCAGCAGUAGGGAAUCUUCCACAAUGGACGAAAGUCUGAUGGAGCAACGCCGCGUGAGUGAAGAAGGGUUUCGGCUCGUAAAACUCUGUUGUUAAAGAAGAACAUAUCUGAGAGUAACUGUUCAGGUAUUGACGGUAUUUAACCAGAAAGCCACGGCUAACUACGUGCCAGCAGCCGCGGUAAUACGUAGGUGGCAAGCGUUGUCCGGAUUUAUUGGGCGUAAAGCGAGCGCAGGCGGUUUUUUAAGUCUGAUGUGAAAGCCUUCGGCUCAACCGAAGAAGUGCAUCGGAAACUGGGAAACUUGAGUGCAGAAGAGGACAGUGGAACUCCAUGUGUAGCGGUGAAAUGCGUAGAUAUAUGGAAGAACACCAGUGGCGAAGGCGGCUGUCUGGUCUGUAACUGACGCUGAGGCUCGAAAGUAUGGGUAGCAAACAGGAUUAGAUACCCUGGUAGUCCAUACCGUAAACGAUGAAUGCUAAGUGUUGGAGGGUUUCCGCCCUUCAGUGCUGCAGCUAACGCAUUAAGCAUUCCGCCUGGGGAGUACGGCCGCAAGGCUGAAACUCAAAGGAAUUGACGGGGGCCCGCACAAGCGGUGGAGCAUGUGGUUUAAUUCGAAGCUACGCGAAGAACCUUACCAGGUCUUGACAUACUAUGCAAAUCUAAGAGAUUAGACGUUCCCUUCGGGGACAUGGAUACAGGUGGUGCAUGGUUGUCGUCAGCUCGUGUCGUGAGAUGUUGGGUUAAGUCCCGCAACGAGCGCAACCCUUAUUAUCAGUUGCCAGCAUUAAGUUGGGCACUCUGGUGAGACUGCCGGUGACAAACCGGAGGAAGGUGGGGAUGACGUCAAAUCAUCAUGCCCCUUAUGACCUGGGCUACACACGUGCUACAAUGGAUGGUACAACGAGUUGCGAACUCGCGAGAGUAAGCUAAUCUCUUAAAGCCAUUCUCAGUUCGGAUUGUAGGCUGCAACUCGCCUACAUGAAGUCGGAAUCGCUAGUAAUCGCGGAUCAGCAUGCCGCGGUGAAUACGUUCCCGGGCCUUGUACACACCGCCCGUCACACCAUGAGAGUUUGUAACACCCAAAGUCGGUGGGGUAAC